GACGAACGCUGGCGGCGUGCCUAACACAUGCAAGUCGAACGGAAGUAAGUGCUUCGGUAUUUACUUUAGUGGCGAACGGGUGAGUAACGCGUGAGGAACCUGCCUUUCAGUGGGGGACAACAGUUGGAAACGACUGCUAAUACCGCAUAAGACCACAGAGCCGCAUGGCUCGGGGGUCAAAGGAGAAAUCCGGUGAAGGGUGGGCUCGCGUCCGAUUAGCUAGUUGGCAGGGUGAUAGCCUACCAAGGCGACGAUCGGUAGCCGACCUGAGAGGGUGAUCGGCCACAUUGGAACUGAGAUACGGUCCAA
rnacentral:rRNA from 1 species